CGGAUAUUGACCUCACAAUUAAUAAGAAGAAACUUUAAUUUAUAAAUACCAAGGUUCAGUCUGGGUUAUACCAAUCAAGGGGUUAUUUUAGGAAGCUCAAAAAAUCACUAUCCGAUGGACAGUGCUAUCUGGCCUUAGCACGACCGCCCCCAGUACGUUACAUAAUUUACCUAAUUUGCAUAUUGUAUUGUAAAAAAGUAAAAUAACCGAUGUGCAAAUUAGGUAAAUGCAUGAUUAAGCUAGACUUGCCACAAGUCGACCAUGGGGGAGGGAGCGCGCGACCCGAGCGACGCGCGCCAUAGAAGGGUCUGGAAAGGACUUUGGAAAGUCUAGAAUUAAGCGUGUGUGAAAGGC